rnacentral:rRNA from 1 species
GAUGAACGCUGGCGGCGUGCCUAAUACAUGCAAGUCGAGCGAACGGACGAGAAGCUUGCUUUUCUGAUGUUAGCGGCGGACGGGUGAGUAACACGUGGAUAACCUACCUAUAAGACUGGGAUAACUUCGGGAAACCGGAGCUAAUACCGGAUAAUAUUUUGAACCGCAUGGUUCAAAAGUGAAAGACGGUCUUGCUGUCACUUAUAGAUGGAUCCGCGCUGCAUUAGCUAGUUGGUAAGGUAACGGCUUACCAAGGCAACGAUGGAUAGCCGACCUGAGAGGGUGAUCGGCCACACUGGAACUGAGACACGGUCCAGACACCUACGGGAGGCAGCAGUCGGGAAUCUUCCGCAAUGGGCGAAAGCCGGACGGAGCAACGCCGCGUGAGUGAUGAAGGUCUUCGGAUCGGAAAACUCUGUUAUUAGGGAAGAACAUAUGUGUAAGUAACUGUGCACAUCUUGACGGUACCUAAUCAGAAAGCCACGGCUAACUACGUG